GGGGUUGUGGCUCAGUGGUAGAGCACUCACCUAGCACAUGUGAGGCACUGGGUUCGAUCUUCACCACCACA
rnacentral:tRNA from 1 species